rnacentral:rRNA from 1 species
AACGAACGCUGGCGGCAGGCCUAACACAUGCAAGUCGAGCGAAGCCUUCGGGCUUAGCGGCGGACGGGUGAGUAACGCGUGGGAACGUGCCCUUUGGUACGGAAUAGCCCCGGGAAACUGGGAGUAAUACCGUAUGUGGUCGAGAGACGAAAGAUUUAUCGCCAAAGGAUCGGCCCGCGUUGGAUUAGGUAGUUGGUGGGGUAAUGGCCUACCAAGCCGACGAUCCAUAGCUGGUUUGAGAGGAUGAUCAGCCACACUGGGACUGAGACACGGCCCAGAUUCCUACGGGAGGCAGCAGUGGGGAAUCUUAGGCAAUGGGGGAAACCCUGAUCUAGCCAUGCCGCGUGAUCGAUGAAGGCCUUAGGGUUGUAAAGAUCUUUCAGUGGGGAAGAUAAUGACGGUACCCACAGAAGAAGCCCCGGCUAACUCCGUGCCAGCCGCCGCCGUAACAC